AACAUCUGCAGCUAAGGAGAAGGGAUGCUACAAAUAGUCCCAGCCUUCUGUGACCCAGUGGGGGACACUCCACUGCUGUUUCCAUACCAGUGGUGGACACACAGAGCACACCUCCAUCUGCUCCUGUUCUCCUGGACAGGUACCUCUACAAGGUUUCUGACCAACUCAGAAGCCUUCCCGAGUUCCAUGUGUUAGGGGGAGAAAAGUGCAUUGGUUUUGCCUGCUACUAGCAAAUGUACCUACUUUGCUAAAACUUUCCCUGGGAAAAGCUUCUCGGCUUCAGCAUGAAGGCAGAAAAUAGACACAGCGUAUGCAGUGGUGGUGGGUAAGGACAUGUCAAGGCUUGUGCAAGAAAAUGAAUGGGAUUUUCAAAGGGCAGGGGUGAUCUUCUGGAGCAGUUAAAGCCCUGAGCUAACCUUGACUUCUGAAAAAUAGGAGUUAUC